AGAACGAACGCUGGCGGCAUGCCUAACACAUGCAAGUCGAACGUGAUCCAGGCUUCGGCCUGGUGAAAGUGGCAGACGGGUGAGUAACGCGUGGGAACCUGCCCUGUGGUAGGGAAUAACCGUGGGAAACUGCGGCUAAUACCCUAUGAGUCCUUCGGGAGAAAGAUUUAUCGCCAUAGGAGGGGCCCGCGUCGGAUUAGGUAGUUGGUGGGGUAACGGCCUACCAAGCCUUCGAUCCGUAGCUGGUCUGAGAGGAUGAUCAGCCACACUGGGACUGAGAUACGGCCCAGACUCCUACGGGAGGCAGCAGUGGGGAAUAUUGGACAAUGGGGGCAACCCUGAUCCAGCAAUGCCGCGUGGAUGAUGAAGGCCUUCGGGUUGUAAAGUCCUUUCGGCGGGGAAGAUGAUGACGGUACCGCAGAAGAAGCCCCGGCUAACUCGCGCCAGCAGCCGC
rnacentral:rRNA from 1 species